ACAACCAUUGGAAAAUAGCACCACUCCAAACAAGUAUAAUAAAUAAGCCUUAAUAUAAGGCUGUAGUUUCUCUAGCUCGUCAAUUUUAAUGCCUGGAGGAACCUCGUGCAAAAUCAAGCGCAGCUCAGUUGGAUCAAUCAUGCCGCUUUUGGGAUUUAGGUGUAGUGACUCUGCCUCAACAAGAUCCUUCGCUAAACCAUGAUCUAAAAUGGGUUUACAAGCAUCUUGAGACUCGAAG
rnacentral:lncRNA from 1 species